GGUCAGCAUACUGCCGUGAAUACGUUCCCGGGCCUUGUACACACCGCCCGUCACACCAUGAGAGUUGGGAAUACCCGAAGCCUGUGAGCUAACUUUACGAGGCAGCAGUCGAAGGUAGAAUCAAUGAUUGGGGUGAAGUCGUAACAAGGUAGC
rnacentral:rRNA from 1 species